ensembl:lncRNA
GAACGGUGCAGUUUAUAGGCAUGGAAAUCAAAAAGCAUAUUCAGUCCAAAAGGAGUGGAGUAGCCUGAGGAGUGUGUGUUUCACUAUCAUUGUUACACCUUCACUCUGGGAUUUACCGGCUCCUGCCCCAGGAAGAUUGCUUCUUGUGUCUCACAAAGGUGUCUUCUUGCUCCAGCUUGUUUGAUCCUUGGCAACCUGCCUGGGAGCCAAAAUACAGUGGAAACAACCUCACCCUAUCACCAUUAUCAGCCCAUCAUCCCCAACCAGGCAUCCUGCUAUCUCCAGACAUUUAACCACUACAGACUCCAUGAGAACAUCUGCUGAAAGUCUGGUGAACUACUAGCUUCAGUCAGACUAAGCGUGGCUGGAGAGUUAAGGAAGGUCCAUUCUGUCCACAGUGCAACAUUUUAUGGAGAUCUUGAGUUGACAUCAUCUGAUACCAGUGAUACCAGAUCAUAAAUAAUUUUGAUGCAUACUUUUUUCGUACACCUCUGCCCUUAAACUUCCUUCUCCAAAUUGAGAUUCCUUCUCCAAAAAUGGAUACAGCCUCUCUGAAUACAUCCCUGCAGUCUGGAGGUCACAGUGUGGGCACAGAAUCUCCAAAUCUGUCGAUGAAAUCAUGGGGUUUCACAAAUGACAGUGAUUCUUGCCAGAGUCAACACUGGAACUUCUUCUUGGCCGCUAACUUCAUCAGUGUUGGUUUCAUUUUUAGAAUAUGAAUGAUGGAUAUUUCCUGAUGGUAUCUCUGGAUGGAUUGUAUUUGAUGGCCCGCAGUGAUGAAAAUUGCAGUUCAG